AUUUACAGCCAUACCACCCUGAAUGUGCCUGAUCUCGUCUGGUCUCGGAAGCUAAGUAGCGUAGGGCCUGGUUAGUACUUGGAUGGGAGACCACCCAGGAAGACCAGGUUCUGUAGGCA
rnacentral:rRNA from 1 species